UGAGGAAUAUUGGUCAAUGGACGAGAGUCUGAACCAGCCAAGUAGCGUGCAGGAUGACGGCCCUAUGGGUUGUAAACUGCUUUUGUUUGGGAAUAAUCGACAUUACGUGUAAUGUUUUGCAUGUACCAUUCGAAUAAGGACCGGCUAAUUCCGUGCCAGCAGCCGCGGUAAUACGGAAGGUCCAGGCGUUAUCCGGAUUUAUUGGGUUUAAAGGGAGUGUAGGCGGUUGGUUAAGCGUGUUGUGAAAUGUAGAUGCUCAACAUCUGACUUGCAGCGCGAACUGGCUGUCUUGAGUACACACAACGUAGGCGGAAUUCAUGGUGUAGCGGUGAAAUGCUUAGAUAUCAUGAAGAACUCCGAUUGCGAAGGCAGCUUACGGGAGUGUUACUGACGCUUAAGCUCGAAGGUGCGGGUAUCGAACGGG
rnacentral:rRNA from 1 species